AUAUUCUGGUUUCUCUUUAGACUGUAUAAAUCUUUCACCUUCU
rnacentral:snRNA from 1 species